UGAGGGGGUCGGAAAAUUCCACAACACCGGCAGCAGCCUCCAGCUGUCCGGGGCUGCUGGUCUCCUGACCCCGACGCUGCUUGUUCGACCUCCAAAAGGGGGACAGCGGGUCACUGAAGGGACUGAAGGGCUGGGCUUGACAAUGAGGUGUUAGAUUUAUGACCCCCGUAGUCCCGCUUGGCUUUGUUCGUUCGGAACUGAAGCCGUUUGAGCAGAGCCCCGCCCGCCAGGACCGUCACGGUGUACGUCUUCAUCACACACUUGCAGUAGUUAAUUAGUAAUGUUAAAAAUUCACAACAAGCCAUAACUACUUUAAUAUAAAUACAUAAAUACAUAUAUAUGUUGUUAGUUUCUUCUUAGUAUUAUUAUAUCAUACUAUUUUUAAGUAUGUCUUCAUUUCCCCCCUUUCAAUUUCUAAAGGCGUUUAAUCAAACUCAGAUUUAUAUCUUCCUUGAAAUAGCAACAUAAUCAGUUUUUGUCAUGGUUAUCUGUUAUAAUGUGCUAUUUUUAAGUUUUAAUGGAAAUGCCUGGAAGAGGUUCAUGUGAUAAAAAACGUUAAAAACACUGGCAGCACUACAGAAGACAAAGAAAAGAAAAAAUCUGGUAACAACAAAGUUUAUUUUAUGAUACACUGCCUACAUGAUCAUAAAUAAACAGAUUAAAAAUCCUUACCCACAUAACCCCUGUCAUUUGUCCUUUGCGGGAGAGCUGCCUGAUGAUAAAAAUCACUUAAUUCAGAUUAAGAUACAGUUUUCAACAUAUUGCUUUUCAAAUGUUACCUUUUUUAAAAUGUGCUAUAAAAAGUUGACACACCACUUUAGAAAAAUAUCAAAAUAGAAACAAAAAAUGCCCCAGUAACCUUCCAACAUCACCUCCAGUGAAUCCAGCAGGUAAACAACCCCAUUCACAAAAAAAAACAACUGUGUCUUCGUUUUGGUAAUUUGCACAGGCUACAUUAAUUGACUGUCCCCCCCCAAAAAGGAUUAACUUGUUUUGUGUCUUCUUUGCAGAUCUUCCAUGUCUGGACACAUGCAGUCAGUGAGGUGGGCUAUGUGGGUGCACUGCAACAGCCAAUCCUGCAUAUUAGGACUGAAGGAUCAGAAAUCUAAGUUUUUU